GGGAUGGAGCAGCUCGGUAGCUCGUCGGGCUCAUAACCCGAAGGUCGUUGGUUCAAAUCCAGCUCCC
rnacentral:tRNA from 1 species